UUAGGUUUUAAGAGCCAGAGUUAUUGAUGUCCUUGUAACUCAAUCUUCUUGACUGGAUAAAUUGAGCUUGAUAGCAACAGGUAAAAGGGCAAGGCAUGGAACUAACCUGUUCACCGGAGUACCUCUCUGAAGAUACAGAACCCGAGCUCUCGGUCUCACAGCCGCCCUCCUUUUCCGAUGACUUCCGUCUCCAGAUCCAACUGCGGCGGUCCAUCUCGCAACCUCAACCUUCCAAUUUGCUUCGCUGAUCACCGCCACCAAGCUCCCAAGUGGUUAGCCGCCCCUUCAGAUAAAACAAAAGGAACUGAAUGCUUCUCUACCUGAUCGAUCGACGAGAAGAUGGUUGAAGAGAAGAGGCAGAUCGAAUCGAAGCCGAUCAUCUGCAUCAAACGCGUCGGAUUUCCUCUCUCCAGGAAAAGAGCGAUUCCCGCCCAAGAACGAGGAGAACACAAGCAAGAGAAGCAAAGGGGUAUGUGAGGGUCCUACAACUCCAUGAAAGGUCAUUUCCUCCAUUAUCUUUGAUGUGUAGUGGAUGUGUAAGCCACAAAGAGCACAAACAUGCAAUGAAUUGAGUGCCCUAAGACAUGAAGGUCAUUCAAAUGAAAUUCAAACCCUAAAUUAUUUCACAAUUUAUGCUACAGCUAAGUACUUCACAGCAACAGAACACUGACUGGUCGCGAACAAUCAUUGCUUCAUGCACUGAACAACUAUCGACAGAUGCGAAAAUCCAUCAAGUUGAUUCAGAUGUGUAAGCCACAAAGAGCUAAACAUGUGAUGAGUUGAGUGCCCUAAGGCAUGAAGGCCAUUCAAAUGAAAUUCAAACCCUAAAUUAUAUCACAAUUUAUGCUACAGCUAAGCACUUCACAGCUACAAAAACACUGACCGGUCGCGAGCAAUUGUUUCAGGCACUGAACAGGAAGUGAAAAUCCAACAAGUUGAUUCAGAUUGCUGAACAGAACAGCAAGCAAAGUUAGGAUACGAUAUCAACUGAGACAUUUGAUACUGAUCAGCUCAUAUUACUUAAUCACAUGACGAGAAAAGUAUAUUGACUACCGGUAUAUUGAGCAUCAAUAGCCUAAAGUUGUCGACCCUUCAGCAUACUGCUUUUCAUAUCAACUCCAUGAAUUCCAACAAGGUGAGCCUUCUAUCAACUGGGCAUGCCAUGAAGAUCUUCACUCUGUCCCUGUUUUGUACUAAGUAGCAAACAUUUGAAGUAUCUUCAUUUCAGGGACACCAAUCUUUGUGAACUCAUCAAAGAACUUCACUAACUUGUUUUCUUUUUCAGAAAUACCGUUUGAUCUUUGCCAAACAUACUUGAUGUCUCAUUAACUGGCGUUUCUUCAGACAGCUUCGACAACAUGUUCAAACUCAUUGGAACUCGAUGGCUUCAUAUUUCUGCAACAUAUAAGUAAUAAAUAUACAGGCUUGUUUCACUUUUUUGGCUGGGCAAACAAAGAGGAAGACAAAGAACAAACUGAAAAGUGCAACAAAAAAGCACAAGUAGAUCAACCACUGGUUACAGCAAAGUUAAACAAUUUUUGACAGUAUACAGGUGAAAUCAAAGAUGACAAAUCAUGGUGAAACGAAGCAUAAAAUAGGUGAGCAAAUUUGGAUUCUAUCUAAUUACUUACCUGAGU